GACGAACGCUGGCGGCGUGCUUAACACAUGCAAGUCGAACGAGGCCCAUGGAGUAGCAAUACUCCGGAAGGCCUAGUGGCGAACGGGUGCGUAACACGUGAGGAACUUGUCCCGGUCUCUGGGAUAACAGUUGGAAACGACUGCUAAUACCGGAUGACGUCGGAGCGUCGCAUGGCGCGCUGACGAAAGGGUUACCGGAUCGGGAGAGCCUCGCGGCCUAUCAGCUUGUUGGCGGGGUAACGGCCCACCAAGGCAUCGACGGGUAGCUGGUCUGAGAGGAUGAGCAGCCACACUGGGACUGGUACACGGCCCAGACUCCUGGGGGAGGCGGCAGUGGGGAAUCUUGCGCAAUGGGCGAAAGCCUGACGCAGCAACGCCGCGUGCGGGAAGAAGGCUUUCGGGUUGUAAACCGCUUUCAGCAGGAACGAAAAUGACGGUACUUGCAGAAGAAGGUGCGGCCAACUACGUGCCAGCAGCCGCCGUAA
rnacentral:rRNA from 1 species